AGAGUUUGAUCCUGGCUCAGAACGAACGCUGGCGGCAGGCCUAACACAUGCAAGUCGAACGCCCCGCAAGGGGAGUGGCGCACGGGUGAGUAACGCGUGGGAAUCUGCCUUGGAGUGGGGGAUAACCUUCCGAAAGGAAGGCUAAUACCGCAUACGCCCGAGAGGGGAAAGUUUUUCGCUCUGAGAUGAGCCCGCGUCCAAUUAGGUAGUUGGUGGGGUAAAGGCCUACCAAGCCUGCGAUUGGUAGCUGGUCUGAGAGGAUGACCAGCCACACUGGGACUGAGACACGGCCCAGACUCCUACGGGAGGCAGCAGUGGGGAAUAUUGGACAAUGGGGGCAACCCUGAUCCAGCCAUGCCGCGUGAGUGAUGAAGGCCUUCGGGUUGUAAAGCCCUUUUAGCACUGACGAGAACAAGGACGGUAGGUGCUGAAGAAGUCUCGGCUAACUACGUGCCAGCCGCCGCGGUAAUUC
rnacentral:rRNA from 1 species